GACGAACGCUGGCGGCGUGGAUUAGGCAUGCAAGUCGGACGGUAGGGCUUUAUCGUAAGAUAGAGUUUGAGAGUGGCGAACGGGUGAGUAACACGUAGGAAUCUACCCUUAAGACGGGGACAACCCAGGGAAACUUGGGCUAAUACCGGAUGAGAGUGCGAGAGAUUGCAUUUAAAAGGAUGGCGAAAGUUGUCGCUUAGGGAUGAGCCUGCGGUCUAUUAGUUAGUUGGUGAGGUAAGAGCUCACCAAGGCGAUGAUAGAUAGGCGGCCUUAACGGGUGGUCGCCCACACUGGGAUUGAGAUACGGCCCAGACUCCUACGGGAGGCAGCAGUCGAGAAUAGUCUACAAUGGACCGGAAGGCUGAUAGUGCGACGCCGCGUGAACGAGGGACGCCCGUUCGGGGUGUAAAGUUUCUUUUCUAUACGAGCAGUGCUAUAUAUAUGGAUAGUAUAUAUAGAGGAUAGCAGUAUAGGAAUAAGACAACGGCUAACCUCCGUGCCAGCACG
rnacentral:rRNA from 1 species